rnacentral:piRNA from 1 species
UGGAACACGGAAGCAUGAUGGGUACCACCCGU